rnacentral:rRNA from 1 species
CAAUAGCGUAUACUAAAGUUGUUGCAGUUAAAAAGCUCGUAGUCGAAUAUAGGUUGUUUGGAUGCGCGAGCACUCUUGUUUAACUUGAGAUGCUUGCGCCCAUUAGCCGCCCUUGUGGGGCUCGAUGUUCUUGAUUAUCAAGAAUACUCAAUCGAUCCCACACAUUACUGUGAACAAAAUAGAGUGUUCAUGGCAGGCCAUUAGGGCUUGAAUACCGCAGCAUGGAAUAAUAGAAUAGGACUUCCGGUUCUAUUUUAUUGGUUUUUGGAGCCGAAGUAAUGAUUAAUAGGGAUAGUUGGGGGCACUCGUACUCCGUUGUCAGAGGUGAAAUUCUUGGAUUGACGGAAGACGAACAACUGCGAAAGCAUCUGCCAAGGAUGUUUUCAUUGA